UACAUUGCUCUGAAAUCAAAUUAAAAUGAAGGCUGUCGCUUCAAUUUUCAUGGUGAUGCUAUUUCUUUCGACCAACAUUGAAAAUGAAGGAGGUUUGAAAAUGGUAGAGGGAACAAGGGUUGAGAAAACGUUGUUUGAGGUUUGCACAGACAUACUAAACAACAAUUGUGGAGACAUGAACCAGUGUUUGAAUCUUUGUCGCAAGAAGUAUGGCUUCUUAGCAAGUGGUGAAUGUAACAACAAAAAACAAUGUGUGUGUACUCACCCAUGUUAAGUUUUUCAUCUUCUUCCAAUUACAAUUUCAAUCUUAUUUCUUAUAAAUCA